AUUGCUUUUCGGCCCUUUGGCUAAGAUCAAUGUGUUUUUGUCAGGUCAGUUUAAUAUCUGUAUACGUAUCCAUCCGAACAACAUGUUAAGUGGGUUUUGGAGCAGAGAGGUGGAGUAGGAACUUGCUCCGUCCGUUACACGCAUUUACUUGCUAUUGCAAUGUUUUUAAGAACGGUGCAUCCCCU
rnacentral:snRNA from 1 species